rnacentral:misc_RNA from 1 species
GGAACAACAACGGGAUAUUUUACAAAUGUUGGAGAAAUCUUUGGCUAGAGAGUUGGAUCUUGAAAAGAAGUUGUCUGAUUCGAAAGAUAACGAGGAAGAGCUCAAAAUGAAAUUGCACUAUGCAGAACAGGAAGCAUACUGCCUAGAGGAAUCAAUUGAGACAAUUAUGGAGAAAAUGUUUGAGGCCGAAAAUGCCGCAGCAUUACUAGU